rnacentral:lncRNA from 7 species
UCCGUCGUCCACGGCUCCAGGCGACACGCUCCAUGCGCAGGACCCUUACGCAGUUUCGUGCCCGUGCGCGGCAUGCCGGGCGUCAUACGCCCAUAUAGGCUCAGCCUGUUUCGUGGAAGUGCUUCCUGGGCUUAGGAUCUAGUAUUUAGGACAGCUCUCAAAAGCCAGAGCUGGCCAACCAGGAAGCCUAGUUGAAGGCCCGGCCCAUGUAGCAUUUUAUUGGUGCCGGGUUAUUGGCGACCCUAGGCAUUACUAGCGCUAAAGGAAUUGCUGGUGAGGUCCAAGGUCAGGGACCAUACUAUCCUCUGAUGGCCGCCCUUUCCUAAGAUCCCCUUUUGCGUCGUCGUACUGUGGCAACGACGAUCCCUCAGUCAGAUUUCAACACACAGACAUCGAAAACCCCAUUUAUCAAUGCGUUGUGUGCAGUCAUGAUGGGCAUGUUUAUUUCAAUGACGGAAGUACAUGGUGAUCAGAUCAUGUCGGCGUACGUGUGGCAACGCAAGCAAAAACGCCUGAUUCGUCUCACCGGCAGCAAUGACGCGAAGGAAGACGAUCGUUUGUCGUGGCCCACAUAGCUUGUUUCAAACUUUUUAGGGGUCAGUUAUGAGAGCAUCUCCAAGAGAACACACAAAAUCUUCCUAAAACCAAUAUUAGAGAUUAAACCCAUUUUUUAUUACUCCAACAGGACCCUCUUUAUGCCCACAUUUUUUCGUGUCCCGCAUAUAUGACCUGUCGUCCCACAAGUAUGAGGGAGAAGAAAUAUCUCCCAAACGCCUCGCACACGCAUUCUAGAAGCGUGAAAAUCACGUGAAAUCUAGUGCACAACAUGCAGCGAUCUAGAAGGUGAAAUCUCG